ACUCUCAGCAACGGAUAUCUCGGCUCUCGCAACGAUGAAGAGCGCAGCGAAAUGCGAUACAUGGUGUGAAUUGCAGAAUUCCGCGAAUCAUCGAAUACUUGAACGCAACUUGUGCCCGAGGCUUGUCCGAGGGCGUGCCUGCCUGAGCGUCCUACCCCCAAGCUGCCCUUCGCAGGGUGGAUUUGGCCGUCCGUGGUGUUCUCUCCCGGUCGGCUCGAUUGCAUACCGGGUGCCCUGCCGACGCUUGCUACCGAAGUAUCAAGUUCGGGCAUCGGGCGCUCCGGUCCCGGCGUGACCUGCGGCGCUUGCGCCGCUCUGUUCCGGACCUCAGGUCAGGCAGGACUACCCGCUGAGUUUAAGCAUAUCACUAAGCGGAGGAAAAGAAACUAACAAGGAUUUCCCUAGUAGCGGCGAGCGAACCGGAAACAGCCCAGCUUGAAAAUCGUGGCGCUCCGUGCCUCGAAUUGUAGUCUGGAGAAGGGUCCUCUGCAGCAGACCGGGCUUAGGUUCCCUGGAAAGGGACGCCGGAGAGGGUGAGAGCCCCGUUCAGCCCGGACCCUGUUGCGUGACGAGGCUCUUUCGACGAGUCGGGUUGCUUGGGAAUGCAGCCUUAAUCGGGUGGUAAACUCCAUCCAAGGCUAAAUACUGGCGAGAGACCGAUAGCGCACAAGUACCGCGAGGGAAAGAUGAAAAGGACUUUGAAAAGAGAGUCAAAGAGUGCUUGAAAUUGCUGGGAGGGAAGCGAAUGGAUGCUCUGUGUGCCCCCUGGUUGUGUGCGGAACGGCUGGAUGACCGCUGGUCCGCCGACCAACUCAGGGCGGCUUGCUAGCGUGGGGGCCAUCUGCGGGAUAAUGACCGCGGGCCUCGGCCCCGGUUGAUGCCGCGGCUGGCCCCGUGGACUGGGGUGCGCGCCCUCGUUGGCGGCGCGAGAGCGCCUGCGCGCCCCGGACGCUGGUGCCUCGGGCGUUCCAUCCGACCCGUCUUGAAACACGGACCAAGGAGUCUAACAUGUAUGCGAGUCUGCGGGUGUCAAACCCGGCAGGCGCAAGGAAACUGACUUGUGGGAUCCCCUGAAGGGGUGCACCACAGACCGACCUUGAUCUUCUGUGAAAGGUUCGAGUGCUAGCAUACCUGUUGGGACCCGAAAGAUGGUGAACUAUGCCUGAGCAGGGCGAAGCCAGAGGAAACUCUGGUGGAGGCUCGCAGCGAUACUGACGUGCAAAUCGUUCGUAUGACUUGGGUAUAGGGGCGAAAGACUAAUCGAACCAUCUAGUAGCUGGUGCCUCCCGAAGUUUCCCUCAGGAUAGCUGGAGCUCAGUUCGCGAGUUCUGUCGGGUAAAGCGAAUGAUUAGAGGCAUCGGGGGUUAAUAACCCUCGACCUAUUCUCAAACUUUAAAUAGGCAGGGCGCCGGGGUUGCUUCGGUGAACCCCGGCAGCGGAAUCCGAGCUCCAAGUGGGCCAUUUUUGGUAAGCAGAACUGGCGAUGCGGGAUGAACCGAAAGCCGGGCUACGGCGCCGAAAUGCGCGCUAACCUAGAUCCACAAAGGGUGUUGAUUGAUUAAGACAGCAGGACGGUGGUCAUGGAAGUCGAAAUCCGCUAAGGAGUGUGUAACAACUCACCUGCCGAAUCAACUAGCCCCGAAAAUGGAUGGCGCUCAAGCGCGCUGCCUAUGCCCGGCCAUCGCGGCGAUUGCGAGGCCUCGAUGAGUAGGGGGGCGUGGGGGUCGUGGCGCAGCCUCGGGCGCGAGCCCGGGUGAAACGGCCCCUAGUGCAGAUCUUGGUGGUAGUAGCAAGUAUUCAAAUGAGAACUUUGAAGACUGAAGUGGGGAAAGGUUCCAUGUGAACAGCAAUUGGACAUGGGUUAGUCGAUCCUAAGAGAUGGGGCAGUCCUGUGUCAAGGGCGCAAUGCGCGC
rnacentral:rRNA from 1 species